GAUGAACGCUAGCGGCAGGCCUAAUACAUGCAAGUCGAACGGUAAGUGUAGUAGCAAUAUUAUACGAGAGUGACGUACGGGUGCGUAACACGUAUGCAACCUACCCUUUACAGGAGGAUAGCUCGGGGAAACUCGAAUUAACCCUCCAUGAUAUCAUUUGGUGGCAUCAUUGAAUGAUUAAAACUCCGGUGGUAAAGGAUGGGCAUGCGUCUGAUUAGUUAGUUGGUGCGGGUAACGGCCCACCAAGACGAUGAUCAGUAGGGGAACUGAGAGGUUGAUCCCCCACACUGGCACUGAGAUACGGGCCAGACUCCUACGGGAGGCAGCAGUAGGGAAUAUUGGUCAAUGGAUGGAAGUCUGAACCAGCCAUGCCGCGUGCAGGAAGAAGGCCUUCUGGGUUGUAAACUGCUUUUGCCAGGGGAUAAAAAGACCGUGCGCGGUUAAUUGAAGGUACCUGGUGAAUAAGCCACGGCUAACUACGUG
rnacentral:rRNA from 1 species